AACGAACGCUGGCGGCAUGCCUAACACAUGCCAGUCGAACGAGACCUUCGGGUCUUGUGGCGCACGGGUGCGUAAGGCGUGGGAACCUGCCCUUAGGUUCGGAAUAACUCAGAGAAAUUUGAGCUAAUACCGGAUGAGGUCUUCGGACCAAAGACUUAUUGCUUUUAGAUGGGCCCGCGUUGGUUUAGCUAGUUGGUGGGGGAAAAGCCUACCAAGGCGACGAUGCAGAGCUGGUCGGGGAAGAUGCUCCACCACACUUGGGCUAAGGCACGGCCCAGACUCCGACGGAGGGGUGGAGUGGGGAAUAUUAGGCGAGGGGGCAAAACCUAGCACAGCAACGCCCGGGAAGUGGUGAAGGGCUUAGGGUUCUAAAGCCCCUUUACCCGAAGCGAUAAUGACAGUAUCGGGAGAAUAAGCUCCGGCUAACUCCGUG
rnacentral:rRNA from 1 species